rnacentral:rRNA from 1 species
GUAAUGGCAGGUCAGCAUACUGCCGUGAAUACGUUCCGGGCCUUGUACACACCGCCCGUCACACCAUGAGAGUUGGGAAUACCCGAAGCCUGUGAGCCAACUGUAAAGAGGCAGCAGUCGAAGGUAGAAUCAAUGAUUGGGGUGAAGUCGUAACAAGGUAGC